UACGAAGGGGGCUAGCGUUGCUCGGAAUUACUGGGCGUAAAGGGCGCGUAGGCGGUUUGGACAGUCAGGCGUGAAAUUCCUGGGCUUAACCUGGGGGCUGCGCUUGAUACAUCCAGACUUGAGUGGGGAAGAGGGUCGUGGAAUUCCCAGUGUAGAGGUGAAAUUCGUAGAUAUUGGGAAGAACACCGGUGGCGAAGGCGGCGACCUGGUCCUUUACUGACGCUGAGGCGCGAAAGCGUGGGGAGCAAACAGG
rnacentral:rRNA from 1 species